rnacentral:rRNA from 1 species
AUGACGAGUAUCCCUCCCAGCUCCCUGCGCCGCCGUCUGCCUCUGACGAUUCCGCACGCGUGUAGGCGACAGUGGAACAAAUUCAGACAUUCAAAGAUAUCCGUCCGUCAAAAUAUUCAGGAAGAUAUGGCCGAUAUAAGUGCUGAGUGUAUGGCUAAGUACGACGACAUUGUCAGCAGGAUGUUUGAUAGCGAGGAAGAGGGUUUUGAGUUCUAUAACAAGUAUGCUCUUGAGAAAGGCUUUAGUGUGAGGAAAGGAUAUGUUGAGUGGGAUGAAGCGAACGAGAAGAUAAUUCUGAGAAAACUUGUCUGUACUCGUGAAGGUUGCCAUGAAGAGAAGCACAUGAAGAGGAAGAGAGAAGAUAGGAAGAGGAAGCCACGGAAUAUCACUCGUGUGGGGUGUAAAGCGAAAUUUGUCAUUGCAAGAGUCGCGAAAACAGGGCAUUGGUUUGUGAAGGAUUUCAUCGAUGAACACAACCAUCCUUUGGCCCCACGAGACCUUGCUUGCUUUUUGCGUUCCCACAGAAGAAUCAGUGACGAGCAGAAAGCGGACAUUAUAGAGAUGCAAAGUGUUGGAAUCCGGAAACACAAAAUCAUGGAUGUGUUGUGCAUGCAGUCUGGUGGAUAUGACCAUGUUGGAUGCAUGUUGAGGGACAUCUAUAACUUCUGUCACCGCUACAAGCAGGAAAUAGUCGCUGCCGGUGAUGCUCAGACGGUGAUCCGUCACAUGAUGGCGCGGCAAGAGAGAGACCCAGAUUAUUUCUUCAAAUACUUGGUUGAUAAAGAUGGGCAUCUGAAGGGAUUGUUCUGGUCCGAUACUCAAUCCCGCCUUGACUACGAGGCUUUCGGCGAUGUUGUGGUUUUUGAUAGCACAUACAGGACCAAUAAGUAUAAUCUGUCGUUUGUUCCGUUUGUCGGGUUGAAUCACCACCGCAACACAGUUAUCUUUGGAUGCGGGAUAAUUUCUCAUGAAACUAACGAGGCGUACGAGUGGAUGUUGCGGACAUUUUCUGAAGCCAUGUCGCAGAAGCAUCCGAUAUCUGUAAUCACUGACGGGGACCUUGCAAUGCAAAGAGCGAUCAGGGUGGUGUGGCCUGACUCAUACCACAGGCUGUGCGUAUGCACAUUCAGCAGAACAUCGUACGCCAUCUGCAUGAUGAUGAGGUUAGGGAAGAAUUCAGAUCUUUCAUAUAUGACUCGUCUUCUAUUGAAGAGCAUGAGAGAAAAUGGAUAG